AGCUAGUUGGUAGGGUAAUGGCCUACCGAGGCGACGACGGGUAGGGGGCCUGAGAGGGUGACCCCCCACAAUGGAACUGAAACACGGUCCGUACACCUACGGGUGGCAGCAGUAGGGAAUAUUGCACAAUCGACGAAAGUCGGAUGCAGCAACGCCGCGUGUGCGAUGAAGGCCUUCGGGUUGUAAAGCACUUUUCUGAGGGAAGAGGAAGGACGGUACCUCAGGAAUAAGUCUCGGCUAACUACGUGCCAGCAGCCGCGGUAACACGUAGGAGGCAAGCGUUAUCCGGAUUUACUGGGCGUAAAGCGCGUGCAGGCGGUUUGGUAAGUUGGAUGUGAAAGCUCCCGGCUCAACUGGGAGAGGUCGUUCAAAGCUACUAAACUAGAGGACGGUAGAGGAAGGUAGAAUUCCCGGUGUAGUGGUGAGAUGCGUAGAUAUCGGGAGGAAUACCAGUGGCGAAGGCGGCCUUCUGGGCCGUUCCUGACGCUAAGACGCGAAAGCAUGGGUAGCGAACGGGAUUAGAAACCCCGGUAGUCCAUGCCGUAAACGAUGCAAACUUGGUGUUGGCGGUUUAAUAGCCGUCAGUGCCGUAGCUACGCGAUAAGUUUGCCGCCUGGGGAUUACGGCCGCAAGGCUAAAACUCAAAGGAAUUGACGGGUUCCCGCACAAGCAGCGGAGCGUGUGGUUUAAUUCGAUUCUACGCGAAGAACCUUACCUGGGCUUGACAUAUAGGUGGUAGGAAACCGAAAGGGGACCGACCCCUCGGGGAGCCUAUACAGGUGCUGCAUGGCUGUCGUCAGCUCGUGUCGUGAGAUGUCCGGUUAAGUCCGGUAACGAGCGCAACCCUUGCCGUAUGUUAUACGUGUCAUACGGGACUGCCGGUAUAAAGCCGGGGGAAGGCGGGGAUGACGUCAAGUCAGCAUGGCCUUUAUGUCCAGGGCUACACACACGCUACAAUGGUCGGUACAAUGGGUCGCAAAACCGCGAGGUGGAGCCAAUCCUCAAAACCGAUCUCAGUUCGGAUUGCAGGCUGCAACUCGCCUGCAUGAAGUCGGAGUUGCUAGUAAACGCGCGUCAGCAACAGUGCGUUGAAUACGUUCCCGGGAAUUGUACACACCGCCCGUCACGUCAUGGAGGCUGGCAACACCUGAAGUCGGUAUCCUAACCCUAACGGGAGGGAACUGCCAAAGGUGGGGCUGGUAACUGGGACGAAGUCGUAACAAGGUAGCUGUAGCGGAAGCUGCGGCUGG
rnacentral:rRNA from 1 species